AACACCGCCAUACCCAUCAGCUCUAUCUUCCCUGAGACAGGAAUAACCAGGAAUUUUAAAACAAAAUUCCGGUUUUAACCACGUCUCACAUAGAGCUAUAACACAAGGGUUAAAUUUGUUAAUAAGAUAAAUUAAAUCAGAUUUGUUCUUCACUACGCUUCUGCAGUUCCAUUGUAGUACUUUGCCUAAGUGAGCCAUUGUUAAAUAUGUCAGUUAUUAUUUUCAAUAAAGGGGCAACGUUGGACGGUAAAAUUGUUUGUGACAGUGAUGAAACUAAAGCUAUUAUAAUAUCGGCUACCGAUUGUGGUUCUGGCAGGGUACCAGUUUUAGGAAGUGCACACCCAUCAGCAUAAGUGGGAGAGUUGAAAUCACCUACAAGAGCUUGGUGGGCUGCACGAUCAUAACCUUGUAUCGAUUUAGGCGGAGAACGGGGCUUCUGAAAAACAGUUUUUUUAUAUGAGUUACUGUGCAAUGGUUGAGUGGCUGGAGUUUUGAUAUCUUGGCUGUUAGCUACAAAAGAAGAUGGUGGUGUAAACUUUAAUGUGUCAGCAUAUGAUUUUGUCACCGGAGGAUGUAUCUUUGAUGCUUCUGAACAUGUCCACCGGUACACCUCUUACGAGUCCCAUCCUGGUAACAUUAAAUGAUGGAAUAAAAGCUUCAUAGCCUUUUUCCAAUAAGGCAUGAUGUUUUAAGAAAGAAUUUGCUGCUAAGUGACUUGUGAAUGCCAUUGAAAUUUUGUUGCGACCAAUACGCUUCAAACUGCCUUGUACUAUAUUUGGCACCUGGUUUUUAUACAAAAAUCUGCCAAAGCAUAUUGGAUGCAAAUUAAGAUCCUGUGUUACCUCUCCAGUACUAGACCUAGCAACAUGAAUAAUAAAUGGUGAAGCAUCCAAUGUAGUAUAUUCCUUUCUAAUACCAUCUGAUAUAUUGGGAGAUACCUGAGAGGCCUGAGAUGGAAGAGCUUGUGUAUGCGGCGCUAUAAGAGGUGAUGGAUUUUCAGUGAUUUUUUCGUCACUGUCUUCACAACGACAUCCACUUCUACCAGAAUCUACAGCCAUUGCAUUUUUGCGUUUUUUUUUAUUACAUGUUUUGCACACCUUA